rnacentral:rRNA from 2 species
UUUUAAUGAGAGUUUGAUCCUGGCUCAGGACGAACGCUGGCGGCGUGCCUAAUACAUGCAAGUAGAACGCUGAUGUUUGGUGUUUACACUAGACUGAUGAGUUGCGAACGGGUGAGUAACGCGUAGGUAA